AGCGGGGAGCUAUUGCUCAACAGGUACAGAGUUUCAAUUUGGAAGACGGAAAGUGUCUGGAGAUGGACGGCAGCGGUGGUGGGGGUUUCAUAACAAUGUCAAUACACUUAAUGCCGUUGAACUGUACACUUAAAAACAGUUAAAAGGGUAAACUCUGUCAUGUGUAUUUUACAGUCUUACAACGAUUAGCUCAUGUAAGACAUGUGAAAAAGAGUAUCUGCAUUAAAGUGUGUGAAAUUAACUGAAAAUGACGUGAUGGUGUGUGCCAAUCCUCCACAUGUGCUUCCCAGGCCAGCUGAACCAUCUACAAAGAUGACAGCAGGAAUGCAGAUUAAAAAAUGUUGCUCAAAAUUUGGCAUAAUGCUGUGUAUCUCUCAUUCUUUUUAAUAUUUUUAACUCUGAGAAAGAUGUAUGAUAUAAUAAAACCAUUCAGUUUUUAAUCUCCAAAUCUGAGGUCUCAAAUAAAAUACUGUUAUCAAAUAAAA